CCUACGGGAGGCAGCAGUGAGGAAUAUUGGUCAAUGGGCGCGAGCCUGAACCAGCCAAGUAGCGUGAAGGAUGACUGCCCUACGGGUUGUAAACUUCUUUUAUAAAGGAAUAAAGUGAGGCACGUGUGCCUUUUUGUAGGUACUUUAUGAAUAAGGAUCGGCUAACUCCGUGCCAGCAGCCGCGGUAAUACGGAGGAUGCGAGCGUUAUCCGGAUUUAUUGGGUUUAAAGGGAGCGUAGAUGGGUUGUUAAGUCAGUUGUGAAAGUUUGGGGCUCAACCGUAACAGUGCAAUUGAUACUGGCAGCCUUGAGUACAGUUGAGGUAGGCGGAAUUCGUGGUGUAGCGGUGAAAUGCUUAGAUAUCACGAAGAACUCCGAUUGCGAAGGCAGCUUACUAAACUGCCACUGACAUUGAUGCUCGAAAGUGUGGGUAUCAAACAGGAUUAGAUACCCUAGUAGUC
rnacentral:rRNA from 1 species